rnacentral:rRNA from 1 species
GUGGGGAAUAUUGGACAAUGGGCGCAAGCCUGAUCCAGCCAUGCCGCGUGAGUGAUGAAGGCCUUAGGGUUGUAAAGCUCUUUCACCGAUGAAGAUAAUGACGGUAGUCGGAGAAGAAGCCCCGGCUAACUUCGUGCCAGCAGCCGCGGUAAUACGAAGGGGGCUAGCGUUGUUCGGAUUUACUGGGCGUAAAGCGCACGUAGGCGGUUUGUUAAGUCAGGGGUGAAAUCCCGGAGCUCAACUCCGGAACUGCCUUUGAUACUGGCAAGCUAGAGUCCGGAAGAGGUAAGUGGAACUCCUAGUGUAGAGGUGGAAUUCGUAGAUAUUAGGAAGAACACCAGUGGCGAAGGCGGCUUACUGGUCCGGAACUGACGCUGAGGUGCGAAAGUGUGGGGAGCAAACAGGAUUAGAAACCCUUGUAGUCC